rnacentral:rRNA from 1 species
AGUCGAACGAGCGAGAGAGAGCUUGCUUUCUCGAGCGAGUGGCGAACGGGUGAGUAACGCGUGAGGAACCUGCCUCAAAGAGGGGGACAACAGUUGGAAACGACUGCUAAUACCGCAUAAGCCCACGGUGCCGCAUGGCACAGAGGGAAAAGGAGCAAUCCGCUUUGAGAUGGCCUCGCGUCCGAUUAGCUAGUUGGUGAGGUAACGGCCCACCAAGGCGACGAUCGGUAGCCGGACUGAGAGGUUGAACGGCCACAUUGGGACUGAGACACGGCCCAGACUCCUACGGGAGGCAGCAGUGGGGAAUAUUGCACAAUGGGGGAAACCCUGAUGCAGCGACGCCGCGUGGAGGAAGAAGGUCUUCGGAUUGUAAACUCCUGUUGUUGGGGAAGAUAAUGACGGUACCCAACAAGGAAGUGACGGCUAACUACGUGCCAGCAGCCGCGGUAAAACGUAGGUCACAAGCGUUGUCCGGAAUUACUGGGUGUAAAGGGAGCGCAGGCGGGAAGACAAGUUGGAAGUGAAAUCUAUGGGCUCAACCC